rnacentral:miRNA from 1 species
UCACCGGGAUUCUCAGUGGAUU